rnacentral:rRNA from 1 species
AGCGAACGUUAGCGGCGGGCCUAACACAUGCAAGUCGCACGAGAAUGUAGGCUUCGGUCUACUAGUAAAGUGGCGGACGGGUGCGUAACACGUGGGUAAUCUACCUUCCGGCGGGGGACAACAGUCCGAAAGGAUUGCUAAUAACGCGUACGUCAGCGGCGCCUACGGGCGCUGUUGGGGAAGCUGGCCUCGUCCUGGAAGCUGUCACCGGAAGAUGAGCACGCGGCCCAUCAGCUAGUCGGGUAGGUAAGGGCUCACCAAGGCGAAGACGGGUAGCUGGUCUGAGAGGAUGAUCAGCCACACUGGGACUGCGACACGGCCCAGACUCCUACGGGAGGCAGCAGUGGGGAAUAUUGGGCAAUGGGCGAAAGCCUGACCCAGCCACGCCGCGUGAGUGAUGAAGGCCUUCGGGUCGUAAAGCUCUGUGGGGAGGGACGAACAAAUCUGGGGCUAAUCACCCGGGUCCUGACGGUACCUCCUUAGCAAGCACCGGCUAACCCUGUGCCAGCAGCCGCCGUAAUAC